rnacentral:lncRNA from 1 species
AGGGGCGCCGAGCCGGCUCCGAGUCGGGCUUCACACCCCGGGAGGGGCGCUAGGACCCAGGCACUCUCCGGCUCCAGGCGUGCCUGGAGAGUGAAGGCAAAGAGGCUCAGGCUCGCGGCCAGAGUCCCUCGGAACGACCGGCCCCUUGGCGCGGGGCAGGAGGCCCGAGUGCGGGGUGCAGCCGCCCUGCGCCCUCUGUGUGGGGCUGCGGUGCGGGCCACGGGCACCGCUCAAGCGCCUGGCGGCUGCCAGCCUCCAGCAUGGACCCUCCGAACGCCGGCCAGCAGGUUUCUUCUGCGGAGGUACGCAUCGGGCCNNNNNNGGCCCAUGAGAUUGACACAGGAUCCUAUCCAGGUACGCCUCUGUUCCCCUUAGGGCUCGGUGUGCAGAGAAGUAGUUAUAGGAGCCCCAUCUGAGGGGCUCGCCUCAACUACAGCAGAUGCCACCCUUACUCUGAGAUGCACACCCAGGCAUCCAAACAUGGGUGUGUGUGUGUGUGUGUGUGUCUGUGUGCAAACACUUGUUUUUAUUAAUGUCAUACUUGACAUAUCAGAUUGGUUUCUUGAAGAAAACACCACCCCAUCUGGAGUAUGAUAUGAUAGGUAAAUUGAUUGCAUGGUGGGUUGUGAGGAACUACAAUGCUUCACCAAAAAAACGAGUCUGUUCUGCAUGCCGCUCCCGCAGCUGGAAAGAGAAGACGCCAUGAGCGGUAAAGGGCAGGCUUUGCCAUGAGCCGCAGCUGGAUGGGAACCCUGAUCUGCCCUUUCCAGCUGUGUGACCUUGGAUGUAUUGCUUCACUUCUCUACCCAGUAAAGAAAUCUGUAAAGUGGAGAUGGUGAUGCCUCCCUCUUAGGAAAUUAUGAGUUUCCGAAGUUCAAUGAAAUAACCAUCAAGUGCUUGGGACACUGCCUG